AACGAACGCUGGCGGCAUGCCUAACACAUGCAAGUCGAACGACACCUUAGUGACUAGUGGCGCUUGGGUGCGUAACGCGUGGGAACCUGCCCGUAGGUUUGGAAUAAUUCUUCUAAAGGGGUGCUAACCCCGGAUAAUAUCUUCGGACAACAGUUUUAUCGCCUUUGGAAGGGCCCGCGAUGGAUUAGCAAGGUUGUAGGGUAAAAGCCGAUUUAAGCGACGGUCGAUAGAUGGUCUGAGAGAAUGAUCAGCCACUCUUGGGCUGAGACACAGCCCGGACUACUACGGGAGGCAGCAGAGGGGAAUAUAGUACUAUCGGCUGAAGCCAGAUCCAUCAAGGCCUCUAGAGUGAUGAAGUCCUUAAGGAUGUGAAGCACUUUAACGCGGGGUUGUAAUGACAGUACCGGAAGAAUAAGCACCGGCUAACUCCGUG
rnacentral:rRNA from 1 species